CUUGACCGACCCCAGCCGCGCCGGCCCCCCGGCCCGGUCCUGGCCGUAGGUGGCCAGCACCGCCUGCGCCUC
rnacentral:antisense_RNA from 1 species